rnacentral:lncRNA from 1 species
GCCUGUCCUUCGCUGUCGCUAUUCUAACUAAACUGAAAGAAUAUCAAAUUCUGAGCAAGUAAAAUAACUGUAUGAAAAAUCUUCUGAUUCACAACAUGUGUUGAUAUGGUUUGAAAGAGAAGAUUGAGUUCAUAGAUUUGUGGGGUGUGGAGUGAGUUGGAAAUUUAUUUCUUACCUGUCUUAAAUAUAAAAGAGAAAAGAAAAUGAAAUGCAAUCUUGGAUCUUCCUUGCUAUGCGACAUGACCCCAUCAUUGAUAAAGAUUAGGCAGCAGAAAUUCUGGCUUCCAUGUUUUGGGUCUUUCACUUUACUCUCUCAGCAUCUAGGUGAAUGCUUUAUUAUAUUAAAAGAAGAAAGAAAGUAAGAAAGAAAAGAAAAAAAAAAAAAGUAGUAUUCUGGCUUUAGUCUUGCUGUCAUUGUGAUGGUAUCUUGUACAAUGUAGAGGACCAAAACUUUCACUGGUGUGAUGAUGAACAAGAGUGAACUAAACUACAAAAGUGGCUUUGCAUGUCUUGCAAGUUUCCCUCUCCUCUGAGUCUCUGUUCAGGAAAGCAAUCAUUAUAGCUUUAUGGACCCUUAAUGUGUCUGCUGUUCUUUAGGCAGACACUUUGUAGUGGGCUUCACCUUCCC